GUAACAAGGUUUCCGUAGGUGAACCUGCGGAAGGAUCAUUGCUGUCUCUUCUUUGAGAAAACAACCAGCGCACAUGUAAUGCAAAGCCGUCGAGGAGUUUUCUCCUCGACCCCACCGGCCCCGGCCUUCUAUGAUCGUUGCGGCAUAUGUCGGCUGUGGUGUCGGAAUACGGCGCGGGAUGACGCCAAGGAAUACAGAUUUGCUGAGGCAGAUGACGAUCCGCACGAGCGUUGCGUYUGUCUGCUGAGGCCAAAGUAAGAAAUGAGAUGACUCCCGGCAACGGAUAUCUCGGCUCUCGCAUCGAUGAAGAACGUAGCGAAAUGCGAUACGUGGUGUGAAUUGCAGAAUCCCGUGAACCAUCGAGUCUUUGAACGCAAGUUGCGCCCGAGGGACCAUCCCGAGGGCACGCCUGCCUCAUGGGCGUAAGAAGCCCAUCCACGCUCGGGUGCCGUGCGGGCAAUCCCGAUGCGGAAAUUGGCCCUCCGAGCUGCGAGGCGYGAAGGGCUUAAGUGUAACGGUCGUUGGCUAAGGCCGGGAGCGACGAGUGGUGGGCUACUAGCGCGAGUCAUCCCUGAGUCUUAUGCCGUAAGAAGGCCUGUUCGAAMCCUAAUYGAGAUCAUGUCAUUUGCAGCGUGACGUUGCGCGACAUGACCGGACUGAUACCCCAGGUCAGGCGUGGCCACCCG
rnacentral:sRNA from 1 species